CUCAAUCAUGGAUCUCAGUUAGCUGAAGGAGGCGUCGCCCUUUUAUGAAAGAGUCAUGGAGAAGCUGCCGUUCAAGAGCGAACUUCAUGGAUUAGCAGCUUCGAGCCCAAUUGAACUACAUCACUUCAUUUAGUUUCACUUGAACUUCAUUCCUAAGUGAAAGCAGGAUCCAAUGAGGCACGUCUCAUGUAUGAGAAGCUUCAGUCUCACCCCAGUCCUAAAAUAAGCAAGAAGGCUCGGCCGUUUGCCUUUGGCUUCCAGGCAAUGGAAAUGAUGAAGGUUAGCAGCAUGGCUCGUCCUUCGCUUAGCUCAGGUUAUCAAAAUU